rnacentral:rRNA from 1 species
AAUAGAUACCCGGGUAGUCCGUGCCGUAAACGAUGUGUACUAGAUGUUCGGUUGGCUACGGCUGGCUGAGCGUCGAAGCAAACGCGAUAAGUACACCGCCUGGGGAGUACGGUCGCAAGGCUAAAACUCAAAGGAAUUGACGGGGCCCCGCACAAGCAGCGGAGCGUGUGGUUUAAUUCGAGGCUACGCGAAGAACCUUACCUGGGUUUGACAUCCGGCGCUAUCCUGUGAAAGCAGGAGUUCCGCAAGGACGCCGAGACAGGUGCUGCAUGGCUGUCGUCAGCUCGUGUCGUGAGAUGUUCGGUUAAGUCCGAAACGAGCGCAACCCCGGGUCCAGUUACAAGUGUCUGGACCGACUGCCUGCGACAAGUGGGAGGAAGGUGGGGAUGACGUCAAGUCAGCAUGGCCUUUACAUCCAGGGCUACACACACGCUACAAUGGCGCGUACAAUGGGAAGCAAGACCGCGAGGUGGAGCGAAUCCUGAAAGCGCGUCGUAGUUCGGAUUGCAGGCUGCAACUCG